rnacentral:rRNA from 1 species
GGAGAAAAGCAGGGGAUCGCAAGACCUUGCGCUAAAGGAGCGGCUGAUGUCUGAUUAGCUAGUUGGUGGGGUAAAGGCUUACCAAGGCAACGAUCAGUAGUUGGUCUGAGAGGACGGCCAACCACACUGGGACUGAGACACGGCCCAGACUCCUACGGGAGGCAGCAGUGGGGAAUUUUGGACAAUGGGCGAAAGCCUGAUCCAGCCAUGCCGCGUGAGUGAAGAAGGCCUUCGGGUUGUAAAGCUCUUUUAGUCGGAAAGAAAGAGUUGCAAUGAAUAAUUGUGAUUUAUGACGGUACCGACAGAAAAAGCACCGGCUAACUACGUGCCAGCAGCCGCGGUAAUACGUAGGGUGCGAGCGUUAAUCGGAAUUACUGGGCGUAAAGGGUGCGCAGGCGGUCUUGCAAGUCAGAUGUGAAAGCCCCGGGCUUAACCUGGGAAUUGCGUUUGAAACUACAAAGCUAG